rnacentral:rRNA from 1 species
UAGGGAAUCUUCCACAAUGGACGCAAGUCUGAUGGAGCAACGCCGCGUGAGUGAAGAAGGUCUUCGGAUCGUAAAACUCUGUUGUUAGAGAAGAACACGAGUGAGAGUAACUGUUCAUUCGAUGACGGUAUCUAACCAGCAAGUCACGGCUAACUACGUGCCAGCAGCCGCGGUAAUACGUAGGUGGCAAGCGUUGUCCGGAUUUAUUGGGCGUAAAGGGAACGCAGGCGGUCUUUUAAGUCUGAUGUGAAAGCCUUCGGCUUAACCGGAGUAGUGCAUUGGAAACUGGAAGACUUGAGUGCAGAAGAGGAGAGUGGAACUCCAUGUGUAGCGGUGAAAUGCGUAGAUAUAUGGAAGAACACCAGUGGCGAAAGCGGCUCUCUGGUCUGUAACUGACGCUGAGGUUCGAAAGCGUGGGUAGCAAACAGGAUUAGAUACCCUGGUAGUCCACGCCGUAACGAUGAAUGCUAGGUGUUGGAGGGUUUCCGCCCUUCAGUGCCGCAGCUAACGCAAUAAGCAUUCCGCCUGGGGAGUACGACCGCANNGNUGA